AUUUCUUGUUUUUUUUUUAUAUCUAUUAUUUCUUAAGUGAACAUUUUUAUAGAAAACAGGAUAAAAUGAAUUUAAAUGACAGUCAAUAUUUUACUCUUUUCAAAAACUAUAACAAAAGUACAUUUAUAAAGAACAAAAGAAUAAAAAACAGACAUUAUUGUAUAACAAUGUCAACAACGUAACUCAUGCAUUGUCAAUAAAAGAAUAAUCUUUACCCUGUUCAAAUGUUUAUUAUAUAUUUCUUUUUCACAGGUAGGUAUAUAUGAGAGGACAAAGAUUCAAUCGACUGAGAGAAAAUGAUAAAAAGAAAUAACUUAAAUAUAUUGACAUCAAGUGACAAUGAAUAUAUCUUUAACAGAUAAAUCUGUUAAAACAUUAAUAAUUGACAUAGAACGAAUUGAAUAAGCGAAUAUAAACAAGAGAACAUUUUUUUUUUAUUGCAGAGGCAGUAAGGUGUUUGACGAGACAAAGAGAGUUUAAUAUACCUUUACGUAUAUAUAUGUUGAGUACAAUAACAGAGUCUUUCGAGAGCAAAAGCGAUAUGAACAAUAAGAAUGUGAUAUGAUGGGGUUAUAUGUUUGUGUAUGUAUCGCUGUUGUAUAGUAAAACUACAUUUAAGCACAAGACGAAAAUGAUAUCAAGAACUUUAAGUACAUUUGAAAAAUUAUACGAACACUUUAAUCAUAUUAAAGUGAAUAAUUGAGGAAAGGUGAUUUAAUAAUAAUGAAAGGUUCUAGAAACAAAUUGAACAAUUGCGAAAAUUAAUCUCUCAAGUUUGCAUCAAAUUUUGCAAUGAAGAAGAUGAAAAUGAUUCGGCGAUUCAAAAGCAUUGAGAAUGAUUCAACAAUAAUGAGAGGCAAUGGAAAAAAAUUGGACAAUCGCAAAAAAGGAGUGGUGUUUCAAGUCUGGAUAAAAUCUGGUGGUAGUGGUGGUGGAGGUGCGAGAACGGCACGCGACACUUGCUGGCUAUGAACCCUAUAUAUACAUAUAUGCGUGUCCCAAGAGUGUAUUGCUCUUUGUAAAUGUAUACAUAAUGAGAGGUGGGCGCGAGUAAAGCAAAAGAAAAUCUUGGGAGGAUUGAAUUGCGCCGUGGUAGCAGCCAUCGUCCUCGGUGACAGCGGCUCUUUGUAUGAGAAAGUCAGAAGGAAUGGUGAUACGUGUUGAUAGAAUCAAAAGAGACACACAAGGAGGGGGAGGAUAAUCGGGGGAAAUCAAGAUUCUUAGGAACAACCCGCUUUUUGAUCCAUUUAAAUACGUGCUGCGCAACUAUUGGAAAAAGUGCGCCGGCGUAUUAAGGCCGCUUUACAGUUAUGUAAGGUCGUGAAACAAUAAACUUCUGAUGCUCGAGUAUAAAGCAGCAAACCUCUUAAUUUCAUCAGGAUUCAAUCCUGUGCUUUUAUAUAAAGUAACACUUAAUAACAGGGUAAUAUAGAGUCAUUGAACUCUUAAUAAGUCACACUUUUCAUUAUUAAAUUAAAGAAAAUUAUAUUCGUGACAUUGAAAGAAAACAAAACAAUAAAAAAACUAGCAUGUUUUUUUUUUAAUUAAUUACUUAAUUUUUUAAAUUUAUAACAAUAUCUACAAUUUUCAAAAAGUUAGGGAAAUUUUCUUAAAACAUAUUAAAAUUUUGAAGAAAAUAAAAGAUUUAAUUUAUUUAAUUAAAUUAUACAAAUUUUAAUCCUUGAAAAUAAUAAAGAAAAUUGAAUUUUUUUACACUUUGGAUUUAGUGUUUCAAAUUUCAUUUUUUUUUUAAAGUGAAUUUUUACUCCAAUACACACAAGCAGUACAAAAAAAAAUAGGAGUAGAAUUUCAUGAAAAACAAAAAAUUUUUUUUUGAAAGGAAACAGCAGUUUAAUCAACAAAAAUUAAAAAUAUCCUUUUGGUAUGAUAUUAUAACAAGAGAACUCGCUAAUUUUCCCAACUAUAUAUACUAUAUAUAUAUAUAAGUAAAACACAUCUUCCUCCUGGAAUAUCAAGUACAAUUAUAAAAAUCAUUAAAUCAAAAUACAUUGAAUAUUUUUCACGUUGAAAUUUACAAGAUAAACUGUUUACUUAGUGAUAUGUAAAAUAACUUAAUUAUAAACGCAUUAUUCUCUGAUGAAGUACUGCAAAAAGUGGAAGUACGCAAUGGAAAGUGAAACUGUUUCUAAAAUAGUAAAUGCAAA